UAUUUAUGUGAGCAUUUUUUUAAUUAUUCAAUUCAAAUUAGAUUAUUCAAAUUACAGGAGAUGGAGGAGGUUAAUUAUACAUUGUUUUCUUGGUUUUAUAACUUUUUGUAUCCAGUUAGUGCAGUUUAUUUCAAUUUUCCAUGAUAACAAGCUAGCUACCAGUUCGAGUGUGCACCUUUCGCCGCCAACGCUAUCUCAAAUUGUUUUUACUUUUUGUUGAACCCUUUUCAUUCUCUGGGGCACACGGAAAAGGUGCGAAUUAAAACCGAGGUCGACUGCCUGAGAUCAGUUUCAUGAAGAAAGAUGAAAAGGUGAUGGCGUUCAAUACCAAUUGCUAUCAAAAGUAUAGCUGGUUAACAGGGAGCCUUUCAUCAAUCCGUCUGUAUUUUUGCUUUUUGGGAAUUCUGAGCCUUGGGCGAUAGCAGGGUACAGUGCCCUGAAGAACAUUGAUCAUUCAGCUAAAUGGCAAAACAAAAGCAGAGAGCAUAACGUUAUAAGAUUCAAGCUUCUGGGAAAAAGCCGCAUCGAUCAUGACGAAGAUCUGCGUAUUCAGAAUGCGCAACACAACUAGAAAGUAAGAAGAAACAGGGAUAUUCUCAAGCGGUUUAUCAACACCACUGUGUUUUUGUGCAUGCAAAAAUUAGGAGGGCACAACGAGAGGGAAUGUUCCGCUAACUAACAAGUGCAACCACAAGGAGCUUGUAGCAGUAAUUGCACGUUUCGAUGCCUUACUUGCUGAACAUAUGGAACUUUCAGUCUUUUCUGGGAUCAUUCAGAGAGAGGUUGACGCAGGGCGCUCAAAAGUGACCACUCCACUCCACUGCGAUUGUCAACUCAUGUUUGUCAACUCAUGUUUGUCAUGAUUGUCAACUCAUGUUCCCACUCAUCCACUGUUACAUUUAAUGAUUCUUCUCCAACCACUUCAAAUCCUGUCCCGCACAGAAGUCAAGUCACUGAAAACCUCAAUUCAUGCCUUAUACCCUCAUUCAAUCACUGCUGUGAUCCCUUCCCAAAACGGUGUAUGUAGCCCUCUCAUUCCCCAUAAUAUUGUACAAUAAAUGUCUUUACUAAAUUCUUUAGGUUAAAACAAUUACUCUGGCGAUUUUUGAAACACGCUUUGACGUCUCCGUGUGUCUAUAACGUGGGUUUCCUCCGUUUUUCAAGUCUCCAGCCUCCACUGAUCACAGUGGUAGCUGUGCCACUAGAGAUCCUUGUUCGAGUCCAGGCUCAGUCGAAAAAGGAAUAAGAAAAUACAAUAGU